rnacentral:rRNA from 1 species
AACGAACGCUGGCGGCAUGCCUAACACAUGCAAGUCGAACGAGAUCUUCGGGUCUAGUGGCGCACGGGUGCGUAACGCGUGGGAAUCUGCCCUUUGGUUCGGGAUAACAGUUGGAAACGACUGCUAAUACCGGAUAAUGACGAAAGUCCAAAGAUUUAUCGCCAGAGGAUGAGCCCGCGUAGGAUUAGCUAGUUGGUGUGGUAAAGGCGCACCAAGGCGACGAUCCUUAGCUGGUCUGAGAGGAUGAUCAGCCACACUGGGACUGAGACACGGCCCAGACUCCUACGGGAGGCAGCAGUGGGGAAUAUUGGACAAUGGGCGGAAGCCUGAUCCAGCAAUGCCGCGUGAGUGAUGAAGGCCUUAGGGUUGUAAAGCUCUUUUACCCGGGAUGAUAAUGACAGUACCGGGAGAAUAAGCUCCGGCUAACUCCGUGCCAGCAGCCGCAGUAA